rnacentral:rRNA from 1 species
GACGAACGCUGGCGGCGUGCUUAACACAUGCAAGUCGAGCGGAAAGGCCCCCUCGGGGGUACUCGAGCGGCGAACGGGUGAGUAACACGUGGGUAAUCAACCCUUGACAUCGGGAUACCCCGGGGAAACCCGGAUCAAUACCGAAUAAAGUGCGGAGACGCAGGUCGCCGUACCAAAGGUAGCUUCGGCCUCCGGUCAGGGACGAGCCCGCGGCCCAUUAGCUAGUUGGUGGGGUAACGGCCUACCAAGGCGACGAUGGGUAGCUGGUCUGAGAGGAUGAUCAGCCACACUGGGACUGAGACACGGCCCAGACUCCUACGGGAGGCAGCAGUGGGGAAUCUUGCGCAAUGGGCGAAAGCCUGACGCAGCAACGCCGCGUGCGGGAAGAAGGCCCUAGGGUCGUAAACCGCUUUCAGUGGGGACGAAGCUUCCGAGGUGAAUAGCCUACGGGGUGACGGUACCUACAGAAGAAGCACCGGCCAACUACGUGCCAGCAGCCGCGGUGAUACGUAGGGUGCGAGCGUUGUCCGGAAUUAUUGGGCGUAAAGGGAUUGUAGGCGGUCCGUCGCGUCGAAAGUGAAAACUCAGGGCUCAACCCUGAGCCUGCUUUCGAUACGGGCGGACUAGAGGUAUGCAGGGGAGAACGGAAUUCCUGGUGGAGCGGUGGAAUGCGCAGAUAUCAGGAGGAACACCGGUGGCGAAGCGGUUCUCUGGGCAUUACCUGACGCUGAGAAUCGAAAGCGUGGGGAGCAAACAGGCUUAGAUACCCUGGUAGUCCACGCCGUAAACGGUGGGCACUAGGUGUGGGGGACAUUCCACGUUCUCCGUGCCGAAGCUAACGCAUUAAGUGCCCCGCCUGGGGAGUACGGCCGCAAGGCUAAAACUCAAAGGAAUUGACGGGGGCCCGCACAAGCGGCGGAGCAUGCGGAUUAAUUCGAUGCAACGCGAAGAACCUUACCUGGGUUUGACAUAUGCCGGAAAGCUGCAGAGAUGUAGCCCCCGCAAGGUCGGUAUACAGGUGGUGCAUGGCUGUCGUCAGCUCGUGUCGUGAGAUGUUGGGUUAAGUCCCGCAACGAGCGCAACCCUCGUCCUAUGUUGCCAGCGGGUCAUGCCGGGGACUCAUAGGAGACUGCCGGGGUCAACUCGGAGGAAGGUGGGGAUGACGUCAAGUCAUCAUGCCCCUUAUGUCCAGGGCUUCACGCAUGCUACAAUGGCUGGUACAAAGGGCUGCGAGACCGCAAGGUUAAGCGAAUCCCAAAAAGCCAGUCUCAGUUCGGAUUGGGGUCUGCAACUCGACCCCAUGAAGUCGGAGUCGCUAGUAAUCGCAGAUCAGCAACGCUGCGGUGAAUACGUUCCCGGGCCUUGUACACACCGCCCGUCAAGUCAUGAAAGUCGGUAACACCCGAAGCCGGUGGCCUAACCCUUGUGGAGGGAGCCGUCGAAGGUGGGACUGGCGAUUAGGACU